rnacentral:rRNA from 1 species
AGGUUAAGUUAUUAAGGGCGCAUGGUGGAUGCCUUGGCACUAGGAGCCGAUGAAGGACGUGACUAACUGCGAUAAGCUUCGGGGAGUUGUAAGUAAACUGUGAUCCGGAGAUUUCCGAAUGGGGAAACCCAACAGGAGUAAAGACCUGUUAUCACUGAGUGAAUACAUAGCUCAGUUAAGGUAGACGUGGGGAACUGAAACAUCUAAGUACCCAUAGGAAGAGAAAGAAAAUUCGAUUCCCUGA